rnacentral:miRNA from 1 species
CACACACUGCAGUUACUUUUGC